AAGAAUCUUUGAGCAGCUUGGAGACCUUGGAUUUGAGCGGCAAUGAUAUUAACAAAUUGGUGGCCUCAAGAGGUCCAAGAAACUUGAGUGCUCUAUACCUAGAAAAUAUCACAACCUAUGGAAGCAGCUUCCAGUUAUUGCAAUCAUUAAUAGCAUUCCCAACCCUCACAACACUCUAUCUGAGCUACAAUGAUUUUAGAGGAAGAAUAUUAGGUAAGUUAUAUAUUAUAUAUAGUAUUUAUAUAUUUAGGUUUAAUUAAAAAAUACAAUUUGCUACUUUUGAACAGAGUUCCAAAAUCUAAGCUCUUUGAAAGAGUUGUAUCUGGACGGAUGUUCUCUGGAUGAAAACUCCCUUCAAAACCUUGGAGCAUUGCCUUCUCUAAAAAAUUUGUCUUUGAAACAACUCAAUAUCACUGUACCUUAUGGAGGCUUCCUUCAUCUUAAGAACUUGGAAUAUUUGGAUUUGAGUUCCAACACUCUCAAUAAUAGCAUCUUACAAACCAUCAAAAUGAUGACCUCUCUUAAAACUUUGAUUUUGCAAAGUUGCAAACUAGAUGGUCGAAUACCUAUGGCCCAAGGCUUCCUUAAUCUCAAGAACUUGGAACUUUUGGAUUUGAGUUACAAUACUCUCGACAAUCGCAUCUUCCAAACCAUGGGUAAGGUUGAUUACUCUCUCUC